rnacentral:rRNA from 1 species
GCCUGCGGCCACACCACCUUGAAUAAGCCUGAUCUCGUCUGAUCUCAGAAGCUAAGCAAUGCUGGGCUUGGUUAGUACUUGGAUGGGAGACCACCUGGGAAUAUCAAGUGCUGCAGGCAUU